AGUAAGAAAUUGAAGUGAAACAAAUCGUUUCACGGAUGCCAUAUGCUCCAAAGUUGGAGCAACAGGAAAAAGAGAGACUGUUGAAAGGUGCCUCCCAAACUGCUAGAACAGACCGUACGGCUCCAUACUAUACGGCAUUACAACCCCCAGUAGUCACCGCCGUGCGGUGAAAACCUCAAAUCGAAAUCUUGUUUAUGUUCAAAAAUUAAUCUGUAACCGAAUAGACUUUGAUUUGAAUUGAUUGGUAACCAUGUUCGUUCCUUUAGACGUGUUUUACCACGCGCAGUUUUGUUUUACUAUCAUGGCUGACACGGCUGACAGACAGCCAUAAAUAUCUUUGAGAAUUUUAGAAAGGCAGUUUGUCACUUUAUAAUUACAAUGUUUAGUACUUGAUUUGAUAAAUCCCACAUUGUUUAGAGUGAGACUAUUCCCCAAUCCAUAUGAACAAUGGCAAGCAAGAACUUGGGCCAAGCCAUCCCAGGAACCGCAGUAGAACUAGAAGAUGUGUGAUGUUGACAGUGUGUGUUCAGUGCCACAAAUUCA